CUGGGCUCUGAGGGCGAAGGCUUGGGGGAGACCUGACUUAGCCACCCGGCUAGCCGCGUUUGGCAUGGGCAGGUCUGUCUCUGUUCCGAGGCAGAUUCCCACUGGGCAGUGACGGGGGAGGUUUGGGACCUGCUAUCCGCUCUUUCCGUCCUCCAGGCUGGCGGCCCUGGAGGCCCGCGUGGCGCAGCUGCGAGAGGCGCGGGCGCAGCAGGUCCAGCAGGUGGAGGAGUGGCGGGCGCAGAACGCGGUGCAGCGGGCAGCCAACGAGGCGCUGCGCGCGCACGUCGGGCUCCGGGAGGCGGCACUGCGCAGGCUCCAGGAGGAGGCACGCGAGCUGCUGGAGAGGCUCGUGCAGCGCAAGGCGCGCGCCGCAGCCGAGCGCAACCUGCGCAACGAGCGCCGGGAGCGGGCCAAGCAGGCGCGGGUGUCCCAGGAGCUGAAGAAGGCUGCCAAGCGGACCGUGAGCAUCAGCGAGUAAGAGUGGGGAUGGGCCAGUCCGACCCUUGUGUUCUGCCUCCCGCCCCUGCCUGCCUGCGGCACCCAGGCUGCCGACUGCACUUGUGCACAGCCCCGUCCUGAGGCCCCCAGGUAGUCGGGACCCAUGGGACACCUGCAGAGGACCGUGUGGUCGUAGGAGCCUGCAUGCGUGACCGCUGCACGAGUACCCGCACAGAACCCUCAUCACUGGGAAUUCCUGUCUUCAGCGUGUCCUGUGCUGGGGUCGGGAGGGGCUGGCUUGGUCCCUUGGCCUUUCUGAGCUUUAUUACCUCUCCUAGGGGCCCGGACACCCUAGGCGAUGGGAUGAGGGAGAGAAGCGAGACUCUGGCUCUGGCCCCUGAGCCAGAGUCCCUGGAGAAGGAAGCUUGUGAGAAGUGGAAGAGGCCCUUCAGGUGAGGACCCAGGUGACGGUCUCAGAGCUCUGAGCUGAGCCCCACCCCAGAGGCUGCCAGGGUCUUCCUCUUGGACCGUGGAGUCAGCUCUUGGGUUGGGAGGAAGCUUGAGGAGAGGCCGGAAAGCUCAGAUCUCCCAGGUCUAGUCUGACAUGCAUUGUCUGGAGCCACUUGGGGUCAGUUCCAUCUCACCCCCUCAACCCCUACCCUCAACCCUUUUCCUCCUUCUUGGGAAUCAGAGCUCUGGGGGUGGGGUGUCAGGCUUGUGAAUAGCUGUCACCAGGAGAGAACCUGUGGGCAAAGCCCAGAGCCCAGUCAUGUCAGGCAUGUGUGUGCAGCCAUAGGUGUGCAAGCAUGUGCAUCCGCAGGGACAUAGGCCACAGGUGUGUACAAGCUUGACUGAGCCUGUCUGUGUGUGUGAAUAUAUUAGCAUGUGUAGAUGUGUGCUCACACUUGUGGGACCUGAUUGGGGCUUCAGACCUUGGGUGCCUGUCCGCAGGGUCUCCUCCAUCCUUCUUGAUUUGCCUGUCAUUGAGGCUGCCCCCUCCAGGCUCCAUUCCCCAGCCUAACACCUCUUCUCAGUCUUUCCUUGCAGGUCCCCGGUGUCCCGGCCUUGGGGCAGUGAAGAAACCGUGGGGAGGGGCAUGAGAUGCCAGUCCCCAAAGUCCUUGGGAGCCCUUGUGGGCCAAGUCAUUGCAGGACACACCCUCUCCUGGGCAUUGCUGAGGUCACCUAGUGAGCCUAGGCUUCCCCCUUCUUCCAUCCCCAGCCUGGGGGAAUCUUCAGCAUCUCUCUUCCCUGUAGGCCCCAGCUCAGCUUCCCAGGAACUUUUGUUUUUGGGUACUUGUAGGGUAAGGCAGUUCUUCCCAUCGUGAGGGAGACCUUGGGAGACUUUCACUACCAAAUCUAUUGCUGCCCCGACCUUCCUGGGACUGGUCUGGGUCACCCUAGUCUCCUGGUCUUGGAGAAGUCAAGUUCUUAUCCCAGACUUGAGAGGUUACAAGCCUCCAGGUCUCUGGCAAAGUGUGGAGAUGAUGGACAGCCAUUGGUACACACACCAGCCAAUCCCUUAGCAUAUCUCUCUCGGUUUUGUCUCAGGUCUGCCUCAGCCACCUCCCUGACGCUGUCCCACUGUGUGGAUGUGGUGAAGGGGCUUCUGGAGUAAGUGUGUGUGUGCCUGUGUGUGCACCCAUGUGUGUGUCGGGCUCCCCAGCCCAGGCUUGGUCUGUGUCUGCGCUUCGACCUGUCCAUCCCUGUGAUGCGCAGCUGUCUGCCUGUGAGUCUGUUGGGCCCUGGAGACAGGAGCCAGGUGAAUGGCCUCAGCCCCAGCCCCGGUUCAGCUGUCUUCCAGGUUCUGUCCUCACAAGGGUCUGUCUUCAUCCAAGGUCGUCACAGGGGACCAAAAGCUCCAGCCUCAGGCAGGGCAGGAGCUCCUACUCAAUUGGGAAAAAUGCUCUGAAAUGUCAGGGACUCAUUCAGAGUCACAGAGCCAAGCAGUGGCAAGACUGGGAUUGAAACCCCAGCCCUGAGGUUUCUUUGCACCCACCAACCCUACCCUGCUCCUGUGUCUGCCUCUGUGUGCUCCCCACCCUGUCUCCACACCAACCCCUGGGGUCGAGGCUGGGUUGGGGAAUGCGCUCACUGCUCCUUGGGGCCAUGUUCUGCCGCCUGCCAUGUCUGCUUCCUAUAGUUGAUGCCUCAGGGGAGCUGGAGGCUCCCACCUGAGAAGGCCUUGCUGAAUGCCCUCCUGACCCCAACCCACCUUACCCCAGUUUUAAGAAGAGGAGAGGUCACUCAAUUGGGGGAGCCCCUGAGCAGCGAUACCAGAUCAUCCCUGUGUGUGUGGCCGCCCGACUUCCUACCCGGGCUCAGGAUGUGCUGGAUGCCCACCUCUCUGAGGUCAAUGCUGUUCGUUUUGGCCCCAACAGCAGCCUCCUGGCCACUGGAGGGGCUGACCGCCUGAUCCACCUCUGGAAUGUUGUGGGAAGUCGCCUGGAGGCCAACCAGACCCUGGAGGGAGCUGGUGGCAGCAUCACCAGUGUGGACUUUGACCCCUCGGGCUACCAGGUUUUAGCAGCAACUUACAACCAGGCUGCCCAGCUCUGGAAGGUGGGGGAGGCACAGUCCAAGGUGAGGCCUGACUGGGGAGGCUGCCUGGGGGUCAGAGGUCAUACCUCAGGACUAGGGGGCCUGUUAUGGGGUCUUGGCCAAACUCUUGAUCCGUACCUGGGGCUGGGGUACAGGAGACAUUGUCUGGACACAAGGAUAAGGUGACAGCUGCCAAAUUCAAGCUAACGCACCAGGCAGUGACUGGGAGCCGCGACCGGACAGUGAAGGAGUGGGACCUUGGCCGUGCCUACUGUGAGCCCCAGCCCCACCUCCCCUCCCCACCAGCCAGGAGCCCCAGGCCAGGGCACAAGGGACCUCACCUGCUCUCUGGGAGUGGCUCUGAGAUUCAUAGGCAUUUGGGGGUGAAACCUCUCAAGGCCCUCCAAUUCCCCAAUGGUAUCCCCCAAUGGUGUUUUCUGUCUGGUUUCUUGGUGACCUCAGGCUGUGGGUAGGAAAAAGACGUGGGUGAGCCCUGGGCUGGGAAGCAGAAGACCUGGGUUCUAGUCUUGGGAGGACACUGCGUUCUGGGCCUCAGCUUCUCCAUGUGUCCUGUGGGGUGGCUCCCGACAACCCUCCUCUGAGGCCCUGGGGUCUGCUGCUUGGUCCCCAGGCUCCAGGACCAUCAAUGUCCUUUCCUACUGUAAUGACGUGGUGUGUGGGGACCAUAUCAUCAUUAGUGGCCACAAUGACCAGAAGAUCCGGUUCUGGGACAGCAGGGGGCCCCACUGCACCCAGGUCAUCCCUGUGCAGGGCCGGGUCACCUCCCUGAGCCUCAGCCACGACCAACUGCACCUGCUCAGCUGUUCCCGAGAUAACACACUCAAGGUCAUCGACCUGCGUGUCAGCAACAUCCGCCAGGUGUUCAGGUACCAGCCUCAUGCCUGCUGACCCUGUGGCCUUUGCUGGGACAGCUGAGCCUCUCUUCUCCUGUAAUAGACCCUCUUGGGGCCCUCCCUGGAGGCCCCUCCAGACCAGGUCCUGCUGAGGUACCAAACCCCUUGACAAAGAGGAAGCUCUGGAAGCUCCCUGCAGAGGACAGAGACUAGUGAUGACCUCUGUUCUGACCCCAGCCCUGUCUGUCCUCAGGGCCGAUGGCUUCAAGUGCGGUUCUGACUGGACCAAAGCUGUGUUCAGCCCGGACAGAAGCUAUGCACUGGCAGGCUCCUGUGAUGGGGCCCUUUACAUCUGGGAUGUGGACACCGGGAAACUGGAGAGCAGACUUCAGGGACCCCAUUGCACUGCUGUCAACGCCGUGGCCUGGUGCUACUCCGGGAGCCACAUGGUGAGCGUGGACCAGGGCAGGAAGGUUGUGCUCUGGCAGUAGGGCCACGAUUUCCCUGCCUGGGCUGGAGCUCUUGCCCGAAGCCUGAAGCUUCCCUUGGCACCAUGCGGGGGUUGGGGUUGGGACUGGAGAUGGCCUUGGGAUUUAAUGGGGAAGAAGGCCUGGCAGGACCUGGCCUGUUUGUUUAAAAAUGAAGUAUGGGUUGGGGGAUUAUGCUAGUUUUUCUUUGUAUUUUUAUCUCUAUCUCCUCACUUUCUCUCUCAAAGUAGAAAAAAAUGAUAUCUA
rnacentral:sRNA from 1 species